GUAGAGACAGGGUUUCACCAUGUUGGCCAGGCUGGCCUCGAACUCCUGACCUCAGGUGAUCCGUCUGCCUCUGCCUCCCAAAGUGUUGGGAUUACAGGCAUGAGCCACUGCACCAGGGCUACGUAUUUGCUUUUGGAUUGUUCCAGUAAAGCAGCAUGGUGACAAAAAGUCCAUCAAUCCUAUAUGUUACUCACUGCAAUAGAACUUGUUUCUUCAGCUCCCUCCUCUUUACAAUGAGAUGACUACCAAUUCACAAGCUUUCAUUUUUUCAAGUUCUACUUCAAAUGAGAUAACAAGGGUGAAAAUAUCUUGUUUACAACUUAGCAUUUAGGCUGCACUGCCUAUGGAGUAACUGUUCUUUUAUUCCUUUACUUAAUAAACUUGCUUUCACUUUACUCUAUGGACUUGCCUCGAAUUAUUGCUUGUCCAAGAUCUAAAAACCCUCUCUUGGGGUCUGGAUCAGGACCCCUUUCCAGUAACAUCUUUCUGCCAAACCAUGGAAAGGAGGACACCGAGGAGACCCCUGACCCAAAGGAAAUAGACUGCAGCACUGAUUGGCUGACUUUUGAUAUCAUCUUUCGUUGGAACUCAGAGUUAUUAAUGGCCCUUGCCAUACCAACACUUUCUGACUGAGCUCUGCUCUACCCUGAAUGCAAGAGACCUAAUAGUUAGGCAGGCAUGUCGUCUCCCCGUAUUCAGCCUGAAGAAGUUGCAGAAGAUGGGUCUUUAUCCCUCUAGAAGUGUUAGGAUUAAGGAUUCUCUUAUGAAAGGGAGGGGUGAAAUGUCAGAGGUGUUUAAACAAGAGCAACUCUAUCUUGAAUAGGGGCUGGGUAAAAUAAGGCUAAGACCUGCUCAGCUGAAUUCUCAGCAAGUUAAAGCAUUCUUAGUCACAGGAUGAGAUAGAAGGUCGGCACAAGACCUAAAGACCUUGCUGAUAAAACAGUUUGCAGAGGAACCAAUAGGCUAUACAUAGAUAUAUAGAAAGAGAUUUACUAUCGUUACAGCCUCACUAAUACACCAUAUGUAGUAGUCUCAUUGCCUGAAAUAGUACCUCGGUCCUUUUUCUCACGACCAAGGAAGUUAAGGAGCACAGACACCAAGAGUGAGGUUGUAGCGAAAGUUUAAUAAUUGAAUGAAGAAGGCUCUUUGCUGCAGAGAGGGGACCCAGAAGAGAGCCGCCGUUUUUACAGUUGAAUGCAAAGCUUCUAUAAGAAACCUGUGAGGGCUGGGCAUCUCAUUUGCAUAAGGUGCAUCUUUCUGGUAGCUCCACCCUGUCCUCCUAAUGUACAUGCGGGCCCUUAGCUUGAGUUCCUCCCUAUUGCUUUGUUGCAUAUGUGUCAGGGGAUGACAUUUUCCAUUGUGAGCAUGUCUGGGCAAGUCACCUGUGUAGCCUUUCUUAUCUGUGCAGCUGUGGGCAUGUCUUUGGCAAGCCCCUCUGUGCAAGGUCCCUUAUCUGUGCCUGCAGGCUGUUCUUUGGUUUGAAAGGAUUCAACCGAGGACCCACCCUAACUGCCUGCCUGAUGGGUUUUUUUCCUUUCUCCUCUCUCAUUCUGAGGGAUUGGCACAUGAAGAUAUGGAGGCUGAGAAGUUCCACAAUCAAUUGUCUGCAACAGCAGUCUCGGGUAUGUCUUUAUCAGCAGCGUGAAAAUGGACUAAUACAACAGUAAAGUCAGUGAUGGAGAUCCAGCCCAAACCUGAAGGCCAGAGAGCCAGGGGAGCCAAUGGCGACAAUCUCCAUCUGAGCUAGAAGGCCUAACAAUGGGGAGUAGCAGUGUCUGAGGACAGGAGGAGAUGGAUGUCCCAGCUCAAGCGGAGAGAGAUGCCAUUCCAAGAAAACCAUGGAAGCAGAAAAGAGGAAGGCAGAAACACAUGAAGUAAGAAGCUAUGUCCUCUGUGCAUGGAGACAGCAGAUCUAUUAGUAGACAGGAUGAAGAGAAAAGGUGGCAAGAAAAGCCACAUGGCUGAUGUAACAAGGAAGAAAGUGGGUCUCUCAGCUCUUCCCUUCUUGUUUUUCCUCUUUUCCCAGUGCCAAGAAAUGUAUUUUUGGGGGCUGCAUUCUUCCCACCAUAAUUUAGAAGGACGCUGUUGCCAGGUUUGAAGACCACUUGAAACAAUCAUUGUUGUUAUUCUGCUAUACUUACCAAGAAUGACAAAACUAUUUACAUGCUGGGGAUAGCAUGCUAGAAAAAUUGCUAAACAAAUCGUAUUUUUUUCCUUCUAUAAAAUCAGAGUUGCAAAGAGCAAUAUAUUAGGCAUUUUCUUUGCCAAAGAACUUUAGCUACGAUUUUCUCCUUCUUUAAAAUUCAUAUUAAUGAUCGUAGAUACCAGGUUUCUAAGGGAAAGACUCUUUGCAACAUCUUCUAUAUAUACCCUGGGUGUUUCUGUAUUGAAUUUACUUAAGAUUUAGGCUCUACAGUUUGAUCUCUAUCAUGUAAAAAUAUAUAGCAAGAAGGCUCCUGGGACAAACACUGAAAUGUUUAUUUUUAAUUUUCUCUGGGCAUUGACAUUCUGGAUGAUUUUAUGUUUUCAUACUUCUUUCUAUUUUCCAUAUAUUUUACAAUCU